CACCAUCUACUCCUGCACGAGCUGCUCUUCACCGCUUGAUGGCUUCCUUCUACACGUGUGUAUGUCUAGUUGUCUGCUUCUCAGAGCAGACAUUUACCUUCCUCAUCCACCAGCCAUUGGAGGAGGGCUGGGGCCACGAAGGUGACUGAUCCUACCCAUUCUUCGUGGAGGGUUUCCUGGUGGCCCUCUUCCAUCGUCGUAUCUGGAAUCAGAGGAGCUCCCGUAGCCUCUUCUUUUCUUUACAUCUUGCUGAAGCAGAGUUUUGAAACAGAAAACGACAAAUUCUGCUAUUCCCCAGAAGAAGUCUGUUAGGAGAGACACUCUCCAUGGGGACUGAUUCCUGCUGUCCAACACCUGACCAUUCGAGAUGUAAACCAUCUUCCCUCCGGUUGCCUGCUUCCUAG
rnacentral:lncRNA from 1 species